rnacentral:lncRNA from 1 species
UGGAUACACACACACACACAAACACACUGAACACACACACACUGACACACAUAAACACUGAAACACACAAUUGACAAACACACACUGGACACUCACACGUGUUAAAUCAGUUUCUGGACCACAGGUUCUAGAACAGCUUCUAUCCCAGUUCUAUCUGCCUGUUAAAUCAGUUUCUGGACCACAGGUUCUAGAACAGCUUCUAUCCCAGUUCUACCUGCCUGUUAAAUCAGUUUCUGGACCACAGGUUCUAGAACAGCUUCUAUCCCAGUUCUACCUGCCUGUUAAAUCAGUUUCUGGACCACAGGUUCUAGAACAGCUUCUAUCCCAGUUCUACCUGCCUGUUAAAUCAGUUUCUGGACCACAGGUUCUAGAACAGCUUCUAUCCCAGUUCUAUCUGUCUGUUAAAUCAGUUUCUGGACCACAGGUUCUAGAACAGCUUCUAUCCCAGUUCUAUCUGCCUGUUAAAUCAGUUUCUGGACCACAGGUUCUAGAACAGCUUCUAUCCCAGUUCUAUCUGCCUGUUAAAUCAGUUUCUGGACCACAGGUUCUAGAACAGCUUCUAUCCCAGUUCUAUCUGUCUGUUAAAUCAGUUUCUGCACCACAGGUUCUAGAACAGCUUCUAUCCCAGUUCUAUCUGCCUGUUAAAUCAGUUUCUGGACCACAGGUUCUAGAACAGAUUCUAUCCCAGUUCUAUCUGCCUGUUAAAUCAGUUUCUGGACCACAGGUUCUAGAACAGCUUCUAUCCCAGUUCUAUCUGCCUGUUAAAUCAGUUUCUGGACCACAGGUUCUAGAACAGCUUCUAUCCCAGUUCUAUCUGCCUGUUAAAUCAGUUUCUGGACCACAGGUUCUAGAACAGCUUCUAUCCCAGUUCUAUCUGCCUGUUAAAUCAUCAACCUAAACUGUUGUCAUCAGACUAUUACAACAUGACUGAACUUUUGGUUCCUUUUCUGAUCUUUUACCACUUUGCAUUUUUUAUGAUAUAUUUUACUGUUUGUGUUUGUACCACAGGAGGUUGGUGGGACCUUAUUUAGGGAGGACAGGCUUGUAAUGGCUGGAGUGGAAUAAGUGGAAUGGUAUCAAACACGUUUCCAUGUGUUCCAUUUCAUUCACUCUGUUCCAGACAUUAUUAUGAGCCGUCCUCCCCUCAGCAGCCUCCUCUGGUAUGUACUGUCCUGUAUGUGACAGAGAUCCAACAAGGAAUUACAAUGUAUGUAUU